rnacentral:rRNA from 1 species
GAUGAACGCUGGCGGCGUGCCUAAUACAUGCAAGUCGAGCGAACAGAUGAGGAGCUUGCUCCUCUGACGUUAGCGGCGGACGGGUGUGUAACACGUGGAUAACCUACCUAUAAGACUGGGAUCACUUCGGGAAACCGGCGCUAAUACCGGAUAAUCUCUUGAACCGCAUGGUUCAAUAGUGAAAGACGGUUUUGCUGUCACUUAUAGCUGGAUCCGCGCCGCAUUAGCUAGUUGGUAAGGUAACGGCUUACCAAGGCGACGAUGCGUAGCCGACCUGAGAGGGGGAUCGGCCACACUGGAACUGAGACACGGUCCAGACGCCUACGGGAGGCAGCAGUAGGGAAUCUGCCGCAAUGGGCGAAAGCCUGACGGAGCAACGCCGCGUGAGUGAUGAAGGUCUUCGGAUCGUAAAACUCUGUUAUUAGGGAAGAACAAAUGUGUAAGGAACUAUGCACGUCUUGACGGUACCUAAUCAGAAAGCCACGGCUAACUACGUG